ACGGAAGGCAGCAGUGGGGAAUAUUGCACAAUGGGCGAAAGCCUGAUGCAGCGACGCCGCGUGAGUGAUGAAGUAUUUCGGUAUGUAAAGCUCUAUCAGCAGGGAAGAUAAUGACGGUACCUGACUAAGAAGCACCGGCUAAAUACGUGCCAGCAGCCGCGGUAAUACGUAUGGUGCAAGCGUUAUCCGGAUUUACUGGGUGUAAAGGGAGCGCAGGCGGUACGGCAAGUCUGAUGUGAAAGCCCGGGGCUCAACCCCGGUACUGCAUUGGAAACUGUCGAACUAGAGUGUCGGAGGGGUAAGUGGAAUUCCUAGUGUAGCGGUGAAACGCGUAGAUAUUAGGAGGAACACCAGUGGCGAAGGCGACUUACUGGACGAUAACUGACGCUGAGGCUCGAAAGCGUGGGGAGCAAACAGGAUUAGAUACCCUGGUA
rnacentral:rRNA from 1 species